rnacentral:rRNA from 1 species
AUUGAACGCUGGCGGCAGGCCUAACACAUGCAAGUCGAGCGGAUGAAGGGAGCUUGCUCCUGGAUUCAGCGGCGGACGGGUGAGUAAUGCCUAGGAAUCUGCCUGGUAGUGGGGGAUAACGUCCGGAAACGGGCGCUAAUACCGCAUACGUCCUGAGGGAGAAAGUGGGGGAUCUUCAGACCUCACGCUAUCAGAUGAGCCUAGGUCGGAUUAGCUAGUUGGUGGGGUAAAGGCCUACCAAGGCGACGAUCCGUAACUGGUCUGAGAGGAUGAUCAGUCACACUGGAACUGAGACACGUUCCAGACUCCGACGGGAAGCAGCAGUGGGGAAUAUUGGACGAUGGACGAAAGCCUGAUCCAGCCAUGCCGCGUGUGUGAAGAAGGUCUUCGGAUUGUAAAGCACUUUAAGUUGGGAGGAAGGGCAGUAAGUUAAUACCUUGCUGUUUUGACGUUACCAACAGAAUAAGCACCGGCUAACUUCGUG